AUUGAACGCUGGCGGCAUGCCUUACACAUGCAAGUCGAACGGUAACAGGUCUUCGGAUGCUGACGAGUGGCGAACGGGUGAGUAAUACAUCGGAACGUGCCCAGACGUGGGGGAUAACGAGGCGAAAGCUUUGCUAAUACCGCAUACGAUCUAAGGAUGAAAGCAGGGGACCGCAAGGCCUUGUGCGUUUGGAGCGGCCGAUGGCAGAUUAGGUAGUUGGUGGGAUAAAAGCUUACCAAGCCGACGAUCUGUAGCUGGUCUGAGAGGACGACCAGCCACACUGGGACUGAGACACGGCCCAGACUCCUACGGGAGGCAGCAGUGGGGAAUUUUGGACAAUGGGCGAAAGCCUGAUCCAGCAAUGCCGCGUGCAGGAUGAAGGCCUUCGGGUUGUAAAAUGCUUUUGUACGGAACGAAAAGGCUCUGGCUAAUACCUGGGGCACAUGACGGUACCGUAAGAAUAAGCACCGGCUAACUACGUG
rnacentral:rRNA from 1 species